UGUAAAUUUACUAAACAGUUAGAAUACCCAAAUAAUAUUGUCUAUGUAUAUUUUUUAAAUAUCUUUAUUGAUUUGGUGUUAAACAAUUUAAAAUUCAAUAUAAAAUUAAAAUAAAUCAAUCCUUUGAUUAGUGGUAAAAACCAUGAAGGAAUACGGUACAUUUCCUAGUGACCAAUAUUCUUCUACAGACGAUUUGAGUCAUCCAUGCACUUAUACUAAUUCAGUUGUACAUGGUAUGAUAGCAAUGGACGACGUAUCUGACAAUAACAAGAUAUGGAGAAUGCUGUUUGCCGAAUUUUUGGGCACAGCUAUUCUAUUGUUUCUUGGUUGUGGCAGCAUUAUGUGGCUUAACGGUUCAACUAAUUCAUCAGAUAUCCUAGCAAUCUCUCUGACUUUUGGUUUCACAAUAGCAACACUAGUACAGAUAUUCGGUCAGACCAGUGGAUGUCAUAUCAACCCAGCAGUCACGGUUAGCUUUUUGGUGAGCGGCCAAUGCUCAUUUUUGAAAUCUGCUCUGUACAUAGUUGCACAGUGUUUGGGGGCUUUAGCCGGUAUCUACCUUCUAGAAUUUGUUACUCCAGACGCAGUAACUAAAGGUUUAGGAAAAACAGACAUAAACACACUGCUUCAACCGGGACAAGGAUUCGUCGUGGAAGCAUUCAUUACCUUUAUUCUAGUGUUGGUUAUUCACUCGGUCUGCGAUGAAGCCAACCGAAGCAACAUAGUUACGCCGUCCAUUUCCAUAGGUCUGACCAUUGCUGCCGCCCAUCUAGCAGCGAUUAAAUACACAGGAGCUAGCAUGAAUCCAGCAAGAUCUUUGGGCCCAGCCGUUGCUCUAGGUGCAUGGUCAAACCAUUGGGUGUACUGGGUCGGUCCUAUUGUCGGUGGCAUACUUGGAGGAACCGUCCAUACUUUUGUGUUGAAACGUCAUACUGAAGAGACAUCAAACCAUACAAUUAAAUUGAGUGCAUUCUAGUUAUUAAAUCAACGAUGAAAUGAAAAUAUAUUACCUAUUUUAUUGCCUAUUUGUAAAGAUGUGAAUUAAAAUAUUCUUACAAUAAUGGUGUAAAAUCAGUAUGCGUGUAUACAGUCCUAGUGCUUGAUGGAAUUAUUGAUAACCUAACAUAAUAUAAUCUAAAUUUAAUAUAAAAAUAUAUAUUUUAUGAUUAUAUAAAAAAUUCACCUUGUUAAAUAUUAUUGUUACCUAAUAAUAAACUGAUUUCAAAUUA